UAGAGGGCAUGAGGUAGUCUUUAGGAGGUCUGUGUGUGUGUGUGGGGGGGUGUAUAGAGGGCAUGAGGUAGUCUUUAGGAGGUCUGUGUGUGUGUUGUGUGUGGGGGGGGGUGUAUAGAGGGCAUGAGGUAGUCUUUAGGAGGUCUGUGUGGCUGUUGGGGGGGUAUAUAGAGGGCAUGAGGUAGUCUUUAGGAGGUCUGUGUGUGUGUGUGUGGGGGGGGUAUAUAGGGGGCAUGAGGUAGUCUUUAGGAGGUCUGUGUGUGUGUGGGGGGAGGUAUAUAGAGGGCAUGAGGUAGUCUUUAGGAGGUCUGUGUCUGUGUUGUGUGUGGGGGGGG
ensembl:lncRNA